rnacentral:rRNA from 1 species
AUGAACGCUGGCGGCGUGCCUAACACAUGCAAGUCGAACGAAGCUCUUUGUUGAUUUUUCGGAAUGAUACAAAAGAUGACUUAGUGGCGGACGGGUGAGUAACGCGUGGAUAACCUGCCCUUGCAGGGGGAUGACAGUUAGAAAUGACUGCUAAUACCGCAUAAGCGCACACUACCGCAUGGUAGAGUGUGAAAAGCGCAUACGGCAAAGGAUGGGUCCGCGUCUGAUUAGCUGGUUGGUGAGGUAACGGCUCACCAAGGCGACGAUCAGUAGCCGGCCUGAGAGGGCGACCGGCCACAUUGGGACUGAGACACGGCCCAGACUCCUACGGGAGGCAGCAGUGGGGAAUAUUGCACAAUGGGGGAAACCCUGAUGCAGCGACGCCCGCGUGAGCGAAGAAGUAUUUCGGUAUGUAAAGCUCUAUCAGCAGGGAAGAUAAUGACGGUACCUGACUAAGAAGCUCCGGCUAAAUACGUGCCAGCAGCAGC